rnacentral:rRNA from 1 species
CCCAGACUCCUACGGGAGGCAGCAGUGGGGAAUAUUGCACAAUGGGGGAAACCCUGAUGCAGCGACGCCGCGUGAGUGAAGAGGUAAUUCGUUACGUAAAGCUCUAUCAGCAGGGAAGAGAAUGACGGUACCUGAGUAAGAAGCCCCGGCUAACUACGUGCCAGCAGCCGCGGUAAUACGUAGGGGGCAAGCGUUAUCCGGAUUUACUGGGUGUAAAGGGAGCGUAGACGGCGACGCAAGUCUGGAGUGAAAGCCCGGGGCCCAACCCCGGGACUGCUCUGGAAACUGCGUCGCUGGAGUACGGGAGGGGCAGGCGGAAUUCCUGGUGUAGCGGUGAAAUGCGUAGAUAUUAGGAGGAACACCAGUGGCGAAGGCGGCCUGCUGGACAGUAACUGACGUUGAGGCUCGAAAGCGUGGGGAGCAAACAGGAUUAGAUACCCGUGUA